GCGGGCGUAGCUCAGUUGGCAGAGCACGAGCUUCCCAAGCUCGGGGUCGCGGGUUCGAUCCCCGUCGCCCGCUCCA
rnacentral:tRNA from 1 species